UCCUGAAGGUAGCUUAGCCUGGUCAGAGCGCUCGGCUCAUAACCGAGAGGUCCGGGGUUCAAAGCCCCGCCCCGGCACCA
rnacentral:tRNA from 1 species